UCGCUCACUCAUUCUCUCUCUCAAAAUAUUUUCAAAAAAUAGUAAUCAAAGAAAUAAAAACCUUCGCAGCCUCACUUCUCAAAUUGUGUCUCCCAGCCCCACACGCUGGCCAAACUACUUUUGGUUCCUCAGAAAUACCAAGCUUCCUUAUAAAUAAAGUAACUCACAGGGAUGAAAAAUACGGCACAGGAAAUAUGGUCAGUGACAUUGUAGUAACAUCGUCUGGUGACGCAGAGUAACCACAGACAUCCGGCCCAGCACUGCGUAACGUAUAGAAGUGUUGGGUCACUCUGUUGUACACCUGCAACUGAUGUAACAUUGUAAAUCCAUUGUACUUCAAUUUACACACACACACACACACACACACACACACACACACACACACACCCCUCCUUUCCUGUAGAUCUCAAUCCUGGCUCCGUCCCAGCUCAGCUGUUGAAAUCAAACACUCGUUGGUACAGGUCCUGCCCCUGGUGAUCCUGACGCAGGAGGUCAGGUGGGUCCCGGCACCCACAUUUUACAAUGAUCCCCACAACCAGGCGGAGAGCCACCGCUCUUUGUCUCCAGGUUUGGGACGUGUGACUCCCUCUGCCUGGGACCCUUUCCGACCUCCUCUGACCCCAGCCCCCACCACACUGCUGGAUAUCGUCUCUCCUUCCGUAAAGUCAAGGCUUAGAUGCCCCUACCUCCUGGAACUUUCUCAGACCAUCCGGGUUAGGAACCCCCGCCCCCAACGCUCCCCUCAGCCCCCUGGCCGUCAUCACCAUGCAUGCAUCUCCCAUCUCGGACACCCACCACGUCUGGGAGAAACUGGGAUGGGGUGUCAGUCUCACUCACCACUAUAUUCCCUGCACCCAGGAGAGCUGACACAGAGUAGGUGCUCCACAAAUGACGGCUAUUAGAAAAGAAAAUGAAUGAACGAAGUGGAUGAAUGGAUGCCUGUGGCAGUUUCCAUGACAAAUAAGAAGGGCUGGGCCAAGCCAGCCCACGGAGGGGCAGUCGGCCUGCAGGGGGCACCAGCCUGCUUCCUAAUCUCCCUGCCGGAGCAGGUGCGGCUGUCAGUCAAGAGAGGCUUCCGAUGCUCAGUGGCCGGCUCGCUGCGCGCUGAGGACCAAGUAGGAGUAGGAGCCUGCCGGUGUGAGGAGACGGAGCGUUCGCCCCUCCCUUCUAGCAACAGGUGCCACGUCCCCGGUCCUGCAGCUGAAACUGCAGCGACCGGUGGCAGGGUCUUCCGUUCCCAGAACGAGACCUCAGUCUGGACCAGACAGGCAUCCACGACAAGCAUCUGGAGGGAGACUUUUCUCCUCCGGUGAGCAGCUGCCGCCACCGCCUCUGGACGUUGCUGAAGCCCCGGCUCUCGGAA
rnacentral:lncRNA from 1 species